rnacentral:rRNA from 1 species
UACGUAGGGGGCAAGCGUUGUCCGGAAUCAUUGGGCGUAAAGCGCGUGUAGGCGGCUGACUAAGUCCGCUCUGAAAGUCCAGGGCUCAACCCUGGGAUGCGGGUGGAUACUGCCGGGCUCGAGUCCGGAAGAGGCGAGUGGAAUUCCCGGUGUAGCGGUGAAAUGCGCAGAUAUCGGGAGGAACACCAAUGGCGAAGGCAGCUCGCUGGGACGUGACUGACGCUGAGACGCGAAAGCGUGGGGAGCAAACAGG